rnacentral:lncRNA from 1 species
UGUAUCAGCAAUACAUUUCAUGAACUUUUUUUUUUUGCAAUUGUGCUUAUAGUGUGUAUUGUAAAAGAGAAAAUUAAGAUAACUUAGACAGUUUUCAUGUAGGGAAUGACCAGGGCUUAUGCCUGUGUCCAUAGCAAGCACCUUGUUUUGAUUUAUUUGUCUUUUCAACCUUCGUUUUCACUUUCUUAGCUUGCUGUGUUCUUCUUUGGGAGACUAAAAUUUUUUAGGGAAAUAACCAUGGUGUCAAAAUUAUAGAAUGGAAAAUUUGAUUAAAUGUAAAACAUUGAUCUUUGUUUCCUACUAUUUCCAUGUUCUUUUGCCUUUGUUUUGUCUGUCAGAUUUUGGGCAUAAUAUACUCUUCCUUUACGGGUAAAUGCCAACUGCCAACAGAGUUCAGAAUUCUGUGAUGCUUGCUUAUGGGUUGUUUACACAGAGAUGAUGUUUGUUCAAGAUAAGAACACUGUAGGGACUCUUUAAGCUAUAUACAUCCCAUCUUUAUUAAGCUCAUCCUUCCACUCCCCUAGGCCUCCAAAGUAGCAAAUAAUUAUAACCAAAUGUUCCUCAUACCCUUAGAAAAUAAAUUUUAGCCAGACUUGGUGGCUCAUGCCUGUAAUCCCAGCACUUUGGGAGGCCAAGAUGGGAGGAUUGCUUUAGCUUAGGAGUUCAAGAUUAGCCUGGGCAAGAUAGUGAGACCUCAUCUCUGCAAAAAACUAGCCAGAAGUGAUGGUGCAUACCUAUAGUCCCAGCCCUUCAAGAGGCUGAGGUGGAGGAUCACUUGAGCCUGAGAAGUCAAGGUGGCAGUGAGCCAAGAUCACACCACUGCACUCUAGCCUGGGCAACAGAGCAAGGUCCUGUCUUAGAAAUAAAUAAAUAAAUAAAAAAUAAAAAGAGGCUGGGUGAAAUGGCUCACUCCUGUAAUCCCAGCACUUUGGCCAACAUGGCAAAACCCUGUCUCUACUGAAAAUACAGAAACAAGCCUGGUGUGGUGGCAGGCACCUGUAAUCCCAGCUACUCAGGAGGCUGAGACGGGAGAAUCGCUUGAACCCAGGAGGCUCAAGAGUUUGAGACCAGCCUGGGCAACAUGGUGAAACCUUGUCUCUACAAAAAAUACAAAAAUUAGUCAGGUGUGGUGGCUCACACCUGUAGUCCCAGGUACUUGGGAGGCUGAGGCAGGAGGAUCACUUGAGCCUGGGAGGCAGAGGUUGCAGCGAGCCAAGAUUGCACCACUGCACUUCAGCCUGGACAAUAGAGAGAAAUCCUGUUCCCCCCUCUCCUGCCCCCUCCAAAAAAACAAAAAACGAGAGAGAGAGAAAGAAGAAGAAGAGGAAGAGGAAGGAGGAGAAGGAGGAGGAAAAAGAAGAAAAAAGAAGAGAAAAGAAAAGAAAUUUUGGAGUGCAGAAUAUAUGUUAUCCUUAAGAGAUAGCAUGAUAUGCCAUUACUUUUGACAUCAUUAUAUUUUUAGGAGGGAUCAUGUUUAAAUUGUCAGUUCUUAAAAAGGAUUGGUGGACAUUCUUGGCUGAGAGUCUUCAUUACA